CGGAAGUAGCUCAGUGGUAGAGCAUCACCUUGCCAAGGUGGGGGUCGCGAGUUCGAAUCUCGU
rnacentral:tRNA from 1 species